rnacentral:rRNA from 1 species
UACGUAGGUGACAAGCGUUGUCCGGAUUUACUGGGCGUAAAGAGCGCGCAGGCGGUCGUUCAAGUCGAGUGUGAAAGCCCCCGGCUCAACUGGGGAGGGUCAUUCGAUACUGAUCGACUCGAAGGCAGGAGAGGGAAGUGGAAUUCCCGGUGUAGUGGUGAAAUGCGUAGAUAUCUGGAGGAACACCGGUGGCGAAGGCGGCAUCCUGGACCAAUACUGACGCUGAGGAGCGAAAGCCAGGGGAGCAAACGGG